CCUACGGGGGGCAGCAGUGAGGAAUAUUGGUCAAUGGGCGGAAGCCUGAACCAGCCAAGUCGCGUGAGGGAAGAAGGCCCUGCGGGUCGCAGACCUCUUUGGACGGGGAGCAAGGCCGCCGACGUGUCGGCGGAAGGAGAGUACCCGUAGAACAAGCAUCGGCUAACUCCGUGCCAGCAGCCGCGGUAAUACGGAGGAUGCGAGCGUUAUCCGGAUUUAUUGGGCGUAAAGCGAGUGCAGGCGGUUCAAUAAGUCU
rnacentral:rRNA from 1 species